AUUGAACGCUGGCGGCAGGCCUAACACAUGCAAGUCGAACGAGUGGCGGACGGGUGAGUAAUGUCUGGGAAACUGCCUGAUGGAGGGGGAUAACUACUGGAAACGGUAGCUAAUACCGCAUACCAUCGGAUGUGCCCAGAUGGUAUUAGCUAGUUGGUGGGGUAAAGGCUCCCCUAGGCGACGAUCCCUAGCUUGUCUGAGAGGAUGACUAGCAAAACUGUACCGGGGAAACGGUCCAGAAGCCUACGGGAGGCAGCAGUGGGGAAUAUUGCACAAUGGGCGCAAGCCUGAUUCAGCCAUGCCGCGUGUAGGAAGAAGGCCUUCGGGUUGUAAAGUACUUUCAGCGGGGAGGCGUUACCCGCAGAAGAAGCACCGGCUAACUCCGUGCCAGCAGCCGCGGUAAUAC
rnacentral:rRNA from 1 species